rnacentral:rRNA from 1 species
GGUUAAGCGACUAAGCGUACACGGUGGAUGCCCUGGCAGUCAGAGGCGAUGAAGGACGUGCUAAUCUGCGAUAAGCGUCGGUAAGGUGAUAUGAACCGUUAUAACCGGCGAUUUCCGAAUGGGGAAACCCAGUGUGUUUCGACACACUAUCAUUAACUGAAUCCAUAGGUUAAUGAGGCGAACCGGGGGAACUGAAACAUCUAAGUACCCCGAGGAAAAGAAAUCAACCGAGAUUCCCCCAGUAGCGGCGAGCGAACGGGGAGCAGCCCAGAGCCUGAAUCAGUGUGUGUGUUAGUGGAAGCGUCUGGAAAGGCGCGCGAUACAGGGUGACAGCCCCGUACACAAAAAUGCACAUACUGUGAGCUCGAUGAGUAGGGCGGGACACGUGGUAUCCUGUCUGAAUAUGGGGGGACCAUCCUCCAAGGCUAAAUACUCCUGACUGACCGAUAGUGAACCAGUACCGUGAGGGAAAGGCGAAAAGAACCCCGGCGAGGGGAGUGAAAAAGAACCUGAAACCGUGUACGUACAAGCAGUGGGAGCCUCUUUUAUGGGGUGACUGCGUACCUUUUGUAUAAUGGGUCAGCGACUUAUAUUCUGUAGCAAGGUUAACCGAAUAGGGGAGCCGAAGGGAAACCGAGUCUUAACUGGGCGUUAAGUUGCAGGGUAUAGACCCGAAACCCGGUGAUCUAGCCAUGGGCAGGUUGAAGGUUGGGUAACACUAACUGGAGGACCGAACCGACUAAUGUUGAAAAAUUAGCGGAUGACUUGUGGCUGGGGGUGAAAGGCCAAUCAAACCGGGAGAUAGCUGGUUCUCCCCGAAAGCUAUUUAGGUAGCGCCUCGUGAAUUCAUCUCCGGGGGUAGAGCACUGUUUCGGCAAGGGGGUCAUCCCGACUUACCAACCCGAUGCAAACUGCGAAUACCGGAGAAUGUUAUCACGGGAGACACACGGCGGGUGCUAACGUCCGUCGUGAAGAGGGAAACAACCCAGACCGCCAGCUAAGGUCCCAAAGUCAUGGUUAAGUGGGAAACGAUGUGGGAAGGCCCAGACAGCCAGGAUGUUGGCUUAGAAGCAGCCAUCAUUUAAAGAAAGCGUAAUAGCUCACUGGUCGAGUCGGCCUGCGCGGAAGAUGUAACGGGGCUAAACCAUGCACCGAAGCUGCGGCAGCGACACUAUGUGUUGUUGGGUAGGGGAGCGUUCUGUAAGCCUGUGAAGGUGUACUGUGAGGUAUGCUGGAGGUAUCAGAAGUGCGAAUGCUGACAUAAGUAACGAUAAAGCGGGUGAAAAGCCCGCUCGCCGGAAGACCAAGGGUUCCUGUCCAACGUUAAUCGGGGCAGGGUGAGUCGACCCCUAAGGCGAGGCCGAAAGGCGUAGUCGAUGGGAAACAGGUUAAUAUUCCUGUACUUGGUGUUACUGCGAAGGGGGGACGGAGAAGGCUAUGUUGGCCGGGCGACGGUUGUCCCGGUUUAAGCGUGUAGGCUGGUUUUCCAGGCAAAUCCGGAAAAUCAAGGCUGAGGCGUGAUGACGAGGCACUACGGUGCUGAAGCAACAAAUGCCCUGCUUCCAGGAAAAGCCUCUAAGCAUCAGGUAACAUCAAAUCGUACCCCAAACCGACACAGGUGGUCAGGUAGAGAAUACCAAGGCGCUUGAGAGAACUCGGGUGAAGGAACUAGGCAAAAUGGUGCCGUAACUUCGGGAGAAGGCACGCUGAUAUGUAGGUGAAGUCCCUCGCGGAUGGAGCUGAAAUCAGUCGAAGAUACCAGCUGGCUGCAACUGUUUAUUAAAAACACAGCACUGUGCAAACACGAAAGUGGACGUAUACGGUGUGACGCCUGCCCGGUGCCGGAAGGUUAAUUGAUGGGGUCAGCGCAAGCGAAGCUCUUGAUCGAAGCCCCGGUAAACGGCGGCCGUAACUAUAACGGUCCUAAGGUAGCGAAAUUCCUUGUCGGGUAAGUUCCGACCUGCACGAAUGGCGUAAUGAUGGCCAGGCUGUCUCCACCCGAGACUCAGUGAAAUUGAACUCGCUGUGAAGAUGCAGUGUACCCGCGGCAAGACGGAAAGACCCCGUGAACCUUUACUAUAGCUUGACACUGAACAUUGAGCCUUGAUGUGUAGGAUAGGUGGGAGGCUUAGAAGUGUGGACGCCAGUCUGCAUGGAGCCGACCUUGAAAUACCACCCUUUAAUGUUUGAUGUUCUAACGUUGACCCGUGAUCCGGGUUGCGGACAGUGUCUGGUGGGUAGUUUGACUGGGGCGGUCUCCUCCUAAAGAGUAACGGAGGAGCACGAAGGUUGGCUAAUCCUGGUCGGACAUCAGGAGGUUAGUGCAAUGGCAUAAGCCAGCUUGACUGCGAGCGUGACGGCGCGAGCAGGUGCGAAAGCAGGUCAUAGUGAUCCGGUGGUUCUGAAUGGAAGGGCCAUCGCUCAACGGAUAAAAGGUACUCCGGGGAUAACAGGCUGAUACCGCCCAAGAGUUCAUAUCGACGGCGGUGUUUGGCACCUCGAUGUCGGCUCAUCACAUCCUGGGGCUGAAGUAGGUCCCAAGGGUAUGGCUGUUCGCCAUUUAAAGUGGUACGCGAGCUGGGUUUAGAACGUCGUGAGACAGUUCGGUCCCUAUCUGCCGUGGGCGCUGGAGAACUGAGGGGGGGCUGCUCCUAGUACGAGAGGACCGGAGUGGACGCAUCACUGGUGUUCGGGUUGUCAUGCCAAUGGCACUGCCCGGUAGCUAAAUGCGGAAGAGAUAAGUGCUGAAAGCAUCUAAGCACGAAACUUGCCCCGAGAUGAGUUCUCCCUGACCCUUUAAGGGUCCUGAAGGAACGUUGAAGACGACGACGUUGAUAGGCCGGGUGUGUAAGCGCAGCGAUGCGUUGAGCUAACCGGUACUAAUGAACCGUGAGGCUUAACCUU